GGGGUUGUGGCUCAGUGGUAGAGUGCUUGCCUACUAUGCGUGAUGCACUGGGUUCAACUCUCAGCACCA
rfam:Ictidomys tridecemlineatus contig028069, whole genome shotgun sequence.